GGGUCCCACCCACAACGUGGGAAUUCUGAGAGAUACAAUUCAAGUUGAGAUUUGGGUGGAGACACAGCCAAAACAUAUCAGCCAUCAUCACAGGUUCAGUGAAAAGCUAGUUUAGGAAAAUGCUCAAAUUGAGAUUUCUGAAAUAUCCCCUUUCCUACCACAUGUCCAGCGCAUUCUCUCACCGGAGAGUAUGACUUAGGUUGCAGGAGCUGAACCAGCCUCACCUCCACUAGUCUUCCUAUAUGCAGGCAACAAGACAGAAGAAGGGAAAGGGACCUGAGAAUGCAGGCAAGAGGUAAGAUUGUUUGUCAAGAAAAACCCCAAUACUGAUCAUAUCUAUGGAGCCACAAGUGGAAGCCAAAAAUGGUCUUCCCAGUGUGUUACUCUCUGGUAGGUGUUCUUAUCUUCCAGCAUCUACUCCCUUCUAGUUAUCUGAUGGCGUUGUAACAAAUCUUUAUGACAGAAGUGGAAUGCCUCUUUCUCCCUCCCUUUCCCCACCUCCCCCUUGGUAUGUGAUGGCAGACAGUAUAGUGACUUCGAGUGUUUAUAUAACUGUGCAGGCUUUUUCUCCAUUGUCUAAACAUCCCCCGGGAACCUUGACAUCAGUUUCACCUCUCCUCUGGGGUUGAGAGAUGGAAAGAAGGGUCAGGAACUUGAACAGAAAUCCAGCCCUCAGUACAUUUCACCCUGCACAUAGGGAUGUGCACUGACUUGACUCUUGUGGGGAAUCCUGCAACCAGCCCAUUUUGCUUGUUUGAGGACCUGGAGAUGAUCCACCACCUAAGGUGGCACUGUGACCAGAGGAAAUUGAUUACCACUCCCUACAACUACAGAACUGAGCACGUUAGAGAUCCAUCCAGAGCAGCUGCUAGCAGCAGUACUUGAAGCCUUUCCACUAAAGGUUUCCUUUUAAUACAUGGUGUCAGAAGUAGCAUCUGAAAUAGAGCUUCCAGUGACCCCCAGGAGCAUCAAGUAACCAAGCAAGGUACCUGCUGACCCCAUUGUGUUCAUUGUUUUCUCACAGCAACUGGGAAUCAUGGAGACGAGGUCUCACUAUGUUGCCCAGGCUGCUCUUGAACUCCUGGGUUCAAGAGAUCCACUCACCUCAGCCUCCCAAUGUCCUGGGAUUAGAGGUGUGAGCCACCGUGCCUGGCCCUGAUGCAUUUUCUGAAAGCUCUUCAGAAGCAAAUAAAUUGCUAAAGUAUUGUGUCUCCUAAAAGGUUCAUGGAAAGGAUUGAAAGGACCCUGAUAUCAUUUACACUGGGUAAAGGAAGCUUUUCAUGAUGGACUAACUGAAGACAAUGAAACCCUUUAUGAUCUAGAACCUGGAGACUGAGGCUUCUAAAAACAUCAGAAAAAGACUGCCCUGCCACCUACACUGCAGCAAUAGAAUCUUUGGUCCAUGGAGUCACUCAUGCUAAAUGUGACAUAACCAAACUGAAACUGUAUGGAAGCAGAUAGAUCCCAAAACAGACUACGGUUGUUUUGUUUUGUUUUGUUUUAUUCUCUCUCUGUCUCUCCUGAAAACAGGAGACUCCAGCAUGAGAAAGCCCCUUCUGGCCCGGUGCUUUGGCUCACGCCUAUAAUCCCAGCACUUUUUGCUUGAGCCCAGGAGUUCCAGACCAGCAUAAUCAACAGGGCAAAACCCCAUCUCUA